UCAGCAUAUAUAUGUGAUGCUGGUGAAGAGUUAGUAGCAUUGAGGAAGAAGCUCGCUACCACAGAAUCUCCAGAAAACACAGUCUUCUCCAAUUACCGAUGAGCUAAGUCUUGUAUGAUAUAUAGAUGGUAGUGGAGUCCUUUUUCUUAUUUAUGUAAUUCAAAUGAAAUUAUAUUACCAAUAUAAAAGUUUAAUUUCAGUUUAUUAGGCGGUCCAUGCAUUUAUUAUUGUUCACUGAGUGACAAUGCCUUCAUGGUAUAUAGUGUCUGGUUGGAGUUGUUCUCAUGGCAAGAUAGUAAUGUGCUGUAUUACCUUACUAACUAAUAUUUUAUUAUAGGCCCCGA
rnacentral:misc_RNA from 1 species